UACAGAGGCCACAAGCAUUAGUCGGGAUCACUGGGCUUAAAGGGUGCGUAGGUGGCUCACCAAGUGCUUUGUGAAAUCCCACGGCUCAACCGUGGAACAGCAGAGCAUACUGGUGGGCUUGAGGCAAGUAGGGGCUGACGGAACAGUAGGUGGAGCGGUGAAAUGCGUAGAUAUCUACUGGAACGCCGAUGGUGAAGACGGCCAGCUGGGCUUGUCCUGACACUGAGGCACGAAAGCGUGGGGAGCAAACAGG
rnacentral:rRNA from 1 species